UACGUAGGGUGCAGGCGUUAAUCGGAAUUACUGGGCGUAAAGCGUGCGCAGGCGGUUUGCUAAGACAGGUGUGAAAUCCCCCGGGCUUAACCUGGGAACUGCGCUUGUUACUGGCAGGCUUGAGUGUGGCAGAGGGGGGGUGGAAUUCCACGUGUAGCAGUGAAAUGCGUAGAGAAUGUGGAGGAACACCGGUGGCGAAGGCGGGCGGGACCCUGGG
rnacentral:rRNA from 1 species